CAGUCGCCGCGGGAAUACGUAGGGUGCAAGCGUUAAUCGGAAUUACUGGGCGUAAAGCGUGCGCAGGCGGUUGUGUAAGACAGGUGUGAAAUCCCUGGGCUUAACCUGGGAACUGCGCUUGUGACUGCACAGCUAGAGUAUGGCAGAGGGGGGUGGAAUUCCACGUGUAGCAGUGAAAUGCGUAGAGAUGUGGAGGAACACCGAUGGCGAAGGCAGCCCCCUGGGCCAAUACUGACGCUCAUGCACGAAAGCGUGGGGAGCAAACAGGAUUAGAUACCCCGUAGUCCCUGUCUCUUAUACA
rnacentral:rRNA from 1 species